AUCGGGCUCUUUCAGCGAUUUGUCACGGUUCUGUUGGGCCCUGCUGCGACGGCACGUGCCAGAUCACCGCGGCGGCUCUGCUCCCCGUGUGCCAGACGGCCUCUCGUCGUCCUGACAGCCCACCACUGCUGUCACCCGCCCUGCGCCCGGACACCGGCUCCCGGCCCUGGCAACACGAGCGUAACCACAACCCCUACCCAGAAUAGAUGCAGACACAGGGGCCAGACAGAAACCCCCAGAGGACACACACACGCUGUACCCUGCAGCUCCACAGACUGUUCAUUUGCCCGAGUCGGGAUGAGACAAGGCCAGAUAAGAGCUGCCACGCACCAGACCGCACGCCUCCGUCCGCCCGCUCAACCAGUGUUUACUUCUGAGGAAAGACAGCAGGCGGAGAAAGGGACGACAAACAGACGAGUGCGACCUGCAGCAGGCAGGUGUGACCUCUCUUUACACGCGUGACACACGCUCGUAUGAAGAGAGAGAUUUGUUUUCAUAAUGCCACAUUGUUGUGACACACCAAACACAAACACAUGCAUUUUAAUGCUCUUUCAUAGCUGAGGAUGCAAAAUGGAGAUCUCAGUUUAAUUGAUGGAAGGGAUUUUGGCUUUGGUGGGGACGUAACGGCAGACAACAGACAUUUAAUUGUUUGAUCAAAAUUAUUGCUAUAGGGACAAUUUAGUAGUCGCUGGAUAUUGGUAGGGACAUGUCAUAGCAUCCCUACUAAAUUAACCAUAACAAGCAAUGUCCGUCUUUGGAAACUAUAGUACUCUCCUUAAAUAUGAAGAGGUCAAACAAGAGAUUAAUGAGUUAAUCCAAAUUUCACCAAAAGCUUAUGGAUGUAAUUAUAACAUAAGUCGGUCACUGAAGUGAAUUGCUGUUUUUGUCUCUUCUGAGAAAGAUUCAUUCACUUGUUUUGGCAAUGUACCCACACACACAGAAAUUUUGGUCAGAUUUUUUUAAUGUUCAUCCAAUCUCAUUUUGUAAGUGACUUUUCUUUCUGUUUUAAAGAUGUUUUCUUUGGAUUGUUUGACUACUCGAAAGAGAAUAUAGGAAAAUAUAACUUACUUAAUUUGUGUUUUGUGCUAGCUUUCACAUACAUAAACAAAAAUCUGCCUCUAAACCCCUUUUCUUUAUUCAAUUGAUCUAGACAAGUAUAUGGAAACUAUCCAAAGUUCUGUUCAUCCCAAAGCAGUCAAAAUUGUAUCUCUAUAUUCAUCCUGUGUCCUCUUAAGGUGAAAAAAACAUGGUUACUACACUUUUAUUAUAAUAAAACCACGUUUAGUAUAAAUUUCUUAAGGUAUUUGUGCAUUCUUUCUUUCUUUUUCUUUGUUUUGUUUUUAUAACUC
ensembl:lncRNA